AACGAACGCUGGCGGCAUGCCUAACACAUGCAAGUCGAACGAGACCUUCGGGUCUAGUUGCGCACGGGUGCGUAACGCGUGGGAACCUUCCCUUAGGUUCGGAAUAACUCCCCGACAGGGGUGCUAAUACCGGAUAAUGUCUUCGGACCAAAGAUUUAUCGCCUUUGGAUGGGCCCGCGUUGGAUUAGCUAGUUGGUAGGGUAAAAGCCUACCAAGGCGACGAUCCAUAGCUGGUCUGAGAGGAUGAUCAGCCACACUGGGACUGAGACACGGCCGAGACUCCUACGGGAGGCAGCAGUGGGGAAUAUUGGACAAUGGGCGAAGGCCUGAUCCAGCAAUGCCGCGUGAGUGAUGAAGGCCUUAGGGUUGUAAAGCUCUUUUACCCGGGAUGAUAAUGACAGUACCGGGAGAAUAAGCACCGGCUAACUCCGUG
rnacentral:rRNA from 1 species